GAUGAACGCUGGCGGCGUGCCUAAUACAUGCAAGUCGAGCGAACAGACGAGGAGCUUGCUCCUCUGACGUUAGCGGCGGACGGGUGAGUAACACGUGGAUAACCUACCUAUAAGACUGGGAUAACUUCGGGAAACCGGAGCUAAUACCGGAUAAUAUAUUGAACCGCAUGGUUCAAUAGUGAAAGACGGUUUUGCUGUCACUUAUAGAUGGAUCCGCGCCGCAUUAGCUAGUUGGUAAGGUAACGGCUUACCAAGGCAACGAUGCGUAGCCGACCUGAGAGGGUGAUGGCCCACACGGGAACGAAAACACGCUCCGGACUCCUACGGGAGGCAGACAUGGGGAAUGUUCGAAAAUGGGGGAAAGCUUGAAGAAAAAAGGCCGCGGGAGAGAAAAAGGUCUUCGGAUCUUAAAACUCUUUUAUGGGGAAAAAAAAAAUGUGAAAGAAAAAAUGCAGUUCUGGAGGGUACCUAAUAAGAAAGCCAAGCAAACCUACGUG
rnacentral:rRNA from 1 species